rnacentral:rRNA from 1 species
GACGAACGCUGGCGGCGUGCUUAACACAUGCAAGUCGAACGGAAAGGCCCUGCUUUUGUGGGGUGCUCGAGUGGCGAACGGGUGAGUAACACGUGAGUAACCUGCCCUUGACUUUGGGAUAACUUCAGGAAACUGGGGCUAAUACCGGAUAGGAGCUCCUGCUGCAUGGUGGGGGUUGGAAAGUUUCGGCGGUUGGGGAUGGACUCGCGGCUUAUCAGCUUGUUGGUGGGGUAGUGGCUUACCAAGGCUUCGGCGGGUAGCCGGCCUGAGUGGGUGACCGGCCACAAUGGGACUGCGGUACGGCCCAGACUCCUACGUGGGGCAGCGGUGGGGAAUAUUGCACAAUGGGCGGAAGCCUGAUGCAGCAGCGCCGCGUGCGUGAUGACGGCCUUCGGGUUGUAAACCGCUUUCGCCUGUGACGAAGCGUGAGUGACGGUAAUGGGUAAAUAAGCACCGGCUAACUACGUG